UCUCUCUGAAUCUGCGAACGGCUCCGCAAACCAGUUGUAAACUAGAGCAAGCAAGUCUGGCGGGCUUCGGCCUCCAGACGAUAUGGAUAACCCUGGUAAUUCUGAGGCUAAUACAUGACCGCAAAGCCGGGCAGCCCAGCAAUGGAUGCUCGGGGAUGUGCGAUAUGGCUUGACAAUAACCGGGAAAGGACGCACACUCAGACCGCGCUAAAAAGGAUCGGGACUCUCUUCGGAGAGCCUGGCCCCAGCGGCUCUUGCUGUGUGCUUCUGACCUAUCAACUAGACGGCAGCGUAAUGGACAUGCUAUGGUUACAACGGGUACGGAGGAUUAGGGUUCGACCCUGGAGAGUGGGCCUGAGAGAUUGAGC
rnacentral:rRNA from 1 species